AAGUCGUAACAGGGUUUCCGUAGGUGAACCUGCGGGAAGGAUCAUUACCUAGAGUUGCGGGGGCUUUGCCCGCCAUCUCUUACCCAGUGUCUUUUGAGUACCUUACGUUUCCUCGGCGGGGUCCGCCCGGCCGACUGGACAAUUUAAACCACUUGCAGUUGCAAUCAGCGUCUGAAAAAACUUAAUAGUUACAA
rnacentral:misc_RNA from 1 species